rnacentral:lncRNA from 1 species
GCAUACGGUAAAUGCAAUCGCGAUUCCUGCGAAAGUGAGUUAGUUUUUAUUUUGCUUGAGGACUAGCAAAAUAUAGGUUUGGGGGUGUGAUAAGUGCUAAAUAAUAUAUAAAUUAAUCUAUUUUAUAUAGCACUUAUUACUAUUUUGAUGUACAUACUUCAGAUUUAAAUAUAGAAAAAUGUGUUUCCCUCCAUGAUUGCAUUUUAAUAAAUUAUUAGAGAUAAUUCAAGUUUGAUUUGAUUAUUUAUUAUCGAGCCUAAUGUAUACAGGUCAAGUCAAACUCAAUUAGAUGAUGCCACACUGCACUAUUCUACAAGUCCACAUCUAAUCGAGCUCAACCUCUCGUUCAUGUUCCAACCUUCUUUCUCAAAACCUCCCACGUUGUUCUGUUUGAGCCUAUAUCACGUCCGUAGAUUAGUCUUCAUUCUGGUUGAAACCAGCCAUUCAAGUCAUCCCAUCAUCCACAUCAUCCUCAUCUAUGAAUUUUUUCCUUGCUUUACAUCUCGUGCAUAGCUCCAUCCUAGCUCCCUUGCAUCCCGACUCGGCCACACCCUCAACGUCUUCCGCUAGAUCCCAGUCAAAAUAAGCCUUCCAGAUUGCCUAUCAUCCUUAUCCCAAAGCCGAGAGACCCAUUCCAUCGCGACGAAUUUCUUCCAGCCAUGCUUAUCUCCCACGGAUAAGUGCCCACGUCUUCGGCAGUCCAAAGAACCGUCCCAGCCUCCAUCCCCUGCUCCACAUCACAGCAGAAUCAAGCCUUCAUCCUGUUAUGAUCCCCUCUUCAUCACAAAUCAAAACAACCACAUCCCCCUCCACAGAUAAGUUCUCAUCCAUCCCAGCUGAGAUUCUCUCAGCUUCACGCUCGUCUUGGCUAUUCGCAUAAGAUCUUCCACAUUCCGGAGUCCCUUCUCCCACGGAUCACUCCCUUCCGCAUCCCCUGUUCCGCUAUAUCUCAACUGCCAACCUUCAAAUCCCAAGCCUCCCAGCCGUCCGCCAUGCAUGCAAGAGAUCCCAACAUCCCAGCUUGCAAAACAUAGCCAGCUCGUUCAUUCCAAGCUUCCUCUUCUUCCGGAAUGAUUCCAUUACCCACAGGAUAAGUUCCAACCUCAAGUCCCAAGCUUCACAUUCUCUUCCCCUGUUUCGGAACCAAUCCCAGCCGAAUCCAACUCCUCCACCUCAAGUUCUCUAUUUCUCCUCACCAUCUUCUCCGGACCACACCAAUGAAUUAUCCAAAUCAACCGCGAGCAAGUUCAUCUUCCCAACGUCUCUCUCAACUUCUCUUCAUCACACGUUCCCUUCAUUCCAUCCCAACCGAACCCAACGUCCUCCGAGAUCCUCUCAAACGCCCACGACUGCUAUCAUUCCCUUUCCUCCCCUAUUUUAGAUUCAAAACAGUGCCAAUCUCCCGUGGAUCAACAUCUACCAACUCAUUUCCCCAUCCUUUGAGCAUCUCAAACAGAGCAAUCCACAGAUUAGAAUUCCCUGUUUCUCCACGUUGAUUCGUCCACAAGAUAAACUCAAAUCCCUUCACCCCAACAGACCAAUCCUUCACGGAUUCCUCCCGAACGUCCCACGAUGAAUCCAACGCAUCUCAGCAUCCUUAUCUCCUUCUGCAUCCAAACUUCCCAGCUGCCAGCCGUGUCCAAGAUCUUCUCCACGUCCUCGUCAUCCCCUGCAUCCAAGGAUCAAGCCAUCUGUUCAAAGUGAUUCGUUCCCAGCUUAUCUUCUUCCCAACUCUCGGAUCAGCUCCAAAUCUCAGCGAAGCCAGCACCCAUGACGCGUUCGAGUACUCCGCGAUUUGACUCCAUUCGCAAGUGAGCUUCGUGAAGCUAUAAAAGUAGAAGACUCCUCUUCCUUGGUGGCAUCUCUUCGGAGAGGGGAGACUGCUCCCAUCCCUUCUUCCCCCAUCGGGGGCUGAUCUCUUCGCUGGAGAAGCUACUCACUGGCCAAGUUCCCACGGGAAACAGAGGAGGGAGAGAAAAGUUUGGAUAUUUUGGGAAUGAUUUUCCAAAGAAAAAAAAAUAAGAAUGAAGUGCUAAGGGAAAGGAAGCCGAUCGUGAUGCAAAUGGAAGUUCGCUGCUGUGCCACUGCUGCUGUCGCCCACAACUCCAUGAAAGACUGAUCUUCUCUCUAGGGCUGGAUGCAGCCCUAAUAAAGGGCCAAGGGUUUUAUACUUUAAUUUUCUAUUCCUGGAGUUGUAUAAACUUUAGUUUGAUC